UGAGUAUGUCUAACCUAGUAGGAUGGUUUAAUGUAAAUGUCAUGUAUGUAUAGAUGUUGAAUUCAUGUUUGACUAUGGAAGCUAAAUGGUUAAAUGAUGUUUGUUUAUUAUAGAAUUGGAUGACUUACUGUUAAAGGUAUAUAUGUCGGUUCAUAAAUGAUAUGAAAGGUUUAAAUGAUAUAAAGAUGGGCAUUUGAAAACUAG
rnacentral:lncRNA from 1 species